rnacentral:lncRNA from 10 species
CCGCUUCUCAGGGGUGGCAGAGGCAGAAGAAGGUCCACCUCUAACUGGACACACACAGUUCAAACCUGUGUUGUUCAAGGUCAACUGUACACGCCACCGAGACCAGAAUGGGUGGUUUGAUAUUUGUCAGUGGCAACAAUUCAAUAUUCUAUCCUUUAGAUGUUUUCUCACUCUGGUCACAUUUAAUGUGUUUAAUUGAUGCUGUGUGGAAGUUUCUUCACGUUAGAGGAUAAAUAAGCCAUUCCCUUUGAUAGGAGCCUGGGGCUUUCCCUGCGAGGAGGGCACUUUGGGAGCAGCCUUCUCAUUAGAGGGCAAUUAGCCGGGCUCCCGCACCCGGUGCCCUGAGCGGGGCUCCUGAGUAGGCAGGGCAGACGCGCCAUCUAGUGGCAGCUCUCAGGACGUCCACACGCCUGCUCCUGCGGGCUCCCGCGCCCUGGGGUGGCAGGCACCGGCAUGCUAGAGGUUAACGAGGAGGUUCCCUCCUUCCAGCGUGGAUGAGCCUUUCCGUGAGGGUGACCGGAAAGGCGCCUGGGCUGGUGACGGUGUCAAGUGUAGGCAAGAAAUACGGCUGAUCAAGAAGCGACUUCACCUCCCUCGCACAACACUGAGUCCCUUUGCGGCAGGGGCCCUCCCCGCCGCGAACCCUACUUGGAACCUUGCGCCAUGCGAUGUCUCUCUCAUUCUAGGCCACGGAAGCCCUGGGUCACCCUUUCAGCCUGGUUCUCUCCGGUGGUGCUGGCUUGUUUCUCCUGUCUGUUGGGGUCAGCUGCGUCCAGCCUCGGCUCCUGCAGGAUUGCCCGGGCAACCCAGAGGAGAUGGGCGGGCGUGGAGGUCCUCCCUGGAUGACCCUUCCCACCAUUUCAACAUCAUUAGGAAUUUAACAGGCUUUUGCAAGAAGGCCCAGUCUCCCUGCUUCCUGGCCUUUCUAUUUAAAAGCACCCAUCUUCACCUUCUCCCAAAGGCUCUGGAAGUUUUACAGACAGCAUCUUUCUAGCCUCGCCCUGCGUCUCUUUCUAGUCAUUUGACUGAGGCUGAACAAAGCCCAGAUGGGAGUUUCAUUCCCUUCACCUCCCCCAACUCCCAGCUGAAGGAGGCUGGCCCCAGACACAGGACACAGCUUCCUGACCCUGCGGGCAGGAGCCUGGCUUGUUGGUGACGGGCAGGAGCCUGGCUUGUUGGUGAGUGGGCCUCCUCAUUGCUGCUGGAGUUUUCCAUCCUCAUUCCACAACAAGCCAAGUCAGCAAGUUGCUGCCAGGAACCUUCACACCUUGUGCUUUGGGAUCUGAGGGGAAACACACACACCGGCACCACCCUCCCUGAGCCCGGGAAUGAAGCCAGCAUCAGCGGAGAGCAACCUACUGAGGAAAAUGAUGGAGUAAUUCCCUGGGCACACUUCAGGCGUGGUGCCAGGUAACAGGCCCUGCCAGGGGGUGACAGAGGUGGUACCAUGGCAUGUCUGGGGCCUGCCCCGAGACACCAGCUGGCAGCAGCCACACUCUGUCCUUAGCAGCACUCGCAGCAGUCCAACACUUUGGUUGUCACGCAAGACACGCUGUUUCUGACAGGACGCCGCAGCCGGGUAACACGGGCAGAUGCAGAGGGCACUAUCCUGCGGCGCUUUUUUGAAAGCACGCCAUUUUUCUUCCCUACCCAAUUAACUUUCCAGAGACCCAUCCCGAAGGACUGGAUUCAUCACUAGAACCAACAAGAUGAGGAUUUGUAGAGCCGGCUGCCGUGCCACUGAGGCUCCUAGUGGGUUAUCUGCGUGGCUUGCCUGACCUCAGCAGAAAUCCACAGCGCAGGGCCCAGAGCUGUGUGAGCACCUGCAAUUGAAGAAUUCACAAUUACAAGUCAUGUGUCUAAAUUGGCAGGCUUUCAAGAAAGUCCCACCAAUCUUCAAGCAUACAGCCGCCAAGGGCCACGUAAAAUGUUUGUAGCUUUAAUAUACAGUUUCAUUUGCUUGAAUAUCAUCAGCUUGGGUGCAGAUAAUCAAAGAAUGGCUCAGGAUGGAGAAUUUAAUAUGAGAAUUCGGCCAGGGCUGCCAAGCCAUAUAUGUGCUAAUGUUGCAAUUUCAACCUUGGACUUAAGGUCAAGAUUAAUUUAGUGAAAAAUAUUAUUUCACGAUGUAACAGACACCUUCUGAGUUGGAGAGCCGAGGAAUUCCGGAGGAUGGAUGAGGCAUGGGUGUGUCUAGAGACCUCAUGGCAAAAGUGGCUGCAUUGCCCCCUCAAAUGUUAGUUAAUAUUUGGGCACAUUUGAGAGAUAACAACAUAGGGAGAUUUUUCUUUAACUUUCUAUUAUGGAAAAUCAAACAUAUGCUAUAUUAGAAAGAACAGUAUAGGAAGUGGAAAACUUUUUCUUUACAGGGCCAGAUAGUAAAUAAUUUUGGUUUCCCAGGCCAUAUGUUCUCCGCCUCAACUAUACAGCUCUAUUGUCACACAAAAGCAGCUAUUGAUAGUGUAUAAAUGAAUGGUGAUGUCUUCUAAUAAAACUUUAUUUGUGGAUGCUGACAUAUGAAUUUCACAAAAUUUUUACAUGUUAUUAAUAGUCUUCUUUUUUCCUGACUUUUGUACCAUUUAAACAUAUAAACAUCUUUCUUAGUUCCCAACCCUUGCAAAAACAGCUGGUGGGCUAGAGUUGGCCCGCAGGUCACAGUCUGCCCAGCCCCGAAGUACGUAGAAGGACCCCCAGCCCCGAAGUACGUAGAAGGACCCCCAUCCCCAACACCCUGUUUCAACAAAAGUCAGCUCAUGGCCAAUCUUGUUUCAUCUAUUCUCCUAUCCUUUUUUCCUCUCCUUGGAUUCUUUGAGGCAAACCCUCAUCAACAAAUUAUUUCAUCCAUAUUCAUAUUUCAGUACUUAUCUCUAAAAGAGGAUUCAAAUUUUAAACAAAAAACUACAAUAUCAUGAUCACAUCUAAAAAUAUUAACAAUUCCAUAAUAUCAUCAAAUAUCCAAUCAAUAUUCAGUUUUUCCAAUUGUCUUAUAAAUGUUUAUUAUUAUAUAUUUUAGAUUUUUUCCCCCAUUCAAUUUAUUUGUUUGAAUCAAGAUCUAAAUAAGAUCAAUAUGUUGCAAAUAUAUUGCAAUUGCUUGAUAGAUCUCUUAAGUCUUUGUUGUUGUUGCCGUUGUUGAGACAAGGUCUCACUCUGUCCCCAAGGCUGGAAUACAGGGGGCCAGAUCAUGGCUCACUACAGUCUGACCUCCUUGGGCUCAGAUGAUCCUCCCACCUCAACCUCCCGUGUAGCCUGGAUUACAGGUGUGCACCACCAUGCUUGGCUAAUUUUUAUAUUCUUUUGUAGAGAUGGGAUUUCACCGUGUUGCUCAGGCUGGUCUUGAACUCGUAGGCUCAAGUGAUUGGACCUCCUCGGUCUCCCAAACCGCUGGGAUUACAGGCAUGCAUCACCAUGCCCAGCUUCCUAAGUCUCUUUUAAUCUCUUGACAGCCCACAGUUCUUUUCAGCACUGAAAAAUAUUUCAUUGUAUGGAUGUGCCACAGUUUGUUCAUCAGUUCACUGAGUGAAGAACAUCUCGAUUAGUUCCAGUUUUCGGCAACUAUGAAUAAAACCUCUAUAAACAUUUAUAUGCAGAUUUCUACGUGGACAUAAGUUUUCAGCUUAAAUAGGUAAAUAUUAAGGAGCAUCAUUGUUGGAUUGUUUGGUUAGAAUAUGUUUAGCUUUUUAGAAACUACCAAACUAUUUUUCAAAGUGGCUGUACCAUUUUGCAUUCCUACCAGCAAUGAAUAAGAAUUCCUUCUAUCCCACAUCCUUGACAACAUUUGGUAUUACCAGUUUUUUGGGAUUUGGGCCAUUCUGAUAGAUGUAUAAUGAUGUGCCAUUGUUGUUUUAAUUUGUAUUUACUUCACGACAUAAGAUAUCAAUGGAAUGUCUUUUUUAUAUGUUUAUUUGCUAUCUAUGUGUUUUCUUUUUUUUUUUUUU